rnacentral:lncRNA from 1 species
CAGAUAUUAUAUUUUCGGCGAACCCCUUCUAUAAGGAUACCCCUUCUAGCUUUAAAACCCCUUCUAGUUUCUCAACCCCUUCUAACCCCUUCUUAAAAACCAACACUAAAUUCACAAAAUAAAACACCAGGAAAAUUCACUAAAUAAAUUCCCCCAAAUCAGAGAUAAACAACUUAAUAGUUCAUAGCAAACACCCAAAUUUAAAAGCCAACACUAAAUUCACAAACUAAAACACCCGCAAAAUUCACUAAAUAAAAACCCUAACAAGAAGAAGAAGAAGAAUUCAAAUCGAAACAGACAAAAUAAUAAAGAAGAAAUAACCUUGUGUUACGGAAAUGCGUGAAGAAGAAGAUGAAAAACACUGUUUGUGGUUGUACUUGAAUGGAAAUGACGAAGAAGAGAAGGGGUUAGACUAGAAGGGGUACAUGGGAUAGAAGGGGG